UCAUUCGGAUUCGCCAUCAUACGUUCAACCGUGCAUUUGAUAUGCAUAUAUAUGCAUCACGAGCCACGGUUGGGCUGUAUGAUGGCGAUACCGAUUGG
rfam:Triticum aestivum genome assembly, contig: Triticum_aestivum_CS42_TGACv1_scaffold_212958_3AS